rnacentral:tRNA from 1 species
UACGGGGCAUAGCUCAAUUGUAUAGAGCAACGGACUUCUAAUCCGUAGGUUGAAGGUUAGAAUCCUUCUGUCUCGAC